rnacentral:rRNA from 1 species
GAGUAACACGUGGGUGACAUGCUUUAGUUGGGGAUAGCUACUAGAAAUAGUAGAUAAUACCGAAUGUGAUCAAUAUUUAUAGAUGAUGUUGAGGAGAGGAGCUAAGGCUUCGCUAAAAGAUUGGCCCGCGGCCCGUUAGCUAGUUGGUAGGGUAAAGGCUUACCAAGGCGAUGAUGGGUAUCCGGCCUGAGAGGGUGAUCGGACACAUUGGGACUGAGAUACGGCCCAGACUCCUACGGGAGGCAGCAGCUAAGAAUAUUCCACAAUGGACGAAAGUCUGAUGGAGCGACGCCGCGUGGAUGAAUGAAGGCCGAAAGGUUGUAAAAUCCUUUUACACUGGAGGAAUAAGCAGAGUAGGGAAUGACUCUGUGAUGACUGUACAGUUUGAAUAAGCAACGGCUAAUUACGUGCCAGCCGCCGC